UAAUACUAGCGGUCCAAGUCGCAGCCAUUUUUAUUGGGUCUAAAACAUCCGUAGCUUGCUUGAUAAGUUUCUCGUGAAAUCUUAUCUCUUAAGGAUAAGAUAUGCAGGAAGUACUGUCAAGCUAGAGACUGGAAGACGUAGGAAGUAUGUUUAAAGUAGUGGUAAAAUACGUUAAUCUUAAACAGACUAACAAGAGCGAAGGCAUCCUACGAGGACAGUUCUGACAGUAAGGGAUGAAGGCUAGGGGCGCAAAACAGAUUAGAUACCUGUGUAGUCCUAGCAGUAAACACUGCACACUAAACAUUAGUACCUCCUCGAGAGGUAUUAGUGCUGUAGGGAAGCCGGAGAGUGUGCUACCUGGGAAGUAUAGUCGCAAGGCCG
rnacentral:rRNA from 1 species